rnacentral:rRNA from 1 species
GAGGAGUGGCGGACGGGUGAGUAACACGUGGGUAACCUACCCAUCAGAGGGGGAUAACACUUGGAAACAGGUGCUAAUACCGCAUAACAGUUUAUGCCGCAUGGCAUAAGAGUGAAAGGCGCUUUCGGGUGUCGCUGAUGGAUGGACCCGCGGUGCAUUAGCUAGUUGGUGAGGUAACGGCUCACCAAGGCCACGAUGCAUAGCCGACCUGAGAGGGUGAUCGGCCACACUGGGACUGAGACACGGCCCAGACUCCUACGGGAGGCAGCAGUAGGGAAUCUUCGGCAAUGGACGAAAGUCUGACCGAGCAACGCCGCGUGAGUGAAGAAGGUUUUCGGAUCGUAAAACUCUGUUGUUAGAGAAG